GAUGAACGCUGGCGGCGUGCUUAACACAUGCAAGUCGAACGGAAAGGCCCAAGCUUGCUUGGUUACUCGAGUGGCGAACGGGUGAGUAACACGUGGGUGAUCUGCCCUUCACUUCGGGAUAAGCCUUGGAAACUGGGUCUAAUACCGGAUAGGACCACUUCUUGGAUGUUGUGGUGGAAAGUUUUUUCGUUGUGGGAUGAGCUCGCGGCCUAUCAGCUUGUUGGUGGGGUAAUGGCCUACCAAGGCGUCGACGGGUAGCCGGCCUGAGAGGGUGUACGGCGACAUUGGGACUGAGAUACGGCCCCGACUCCGACGGGAGGCAGCAGUGGGGAAUAUUGCACAAUGGGCGCAAGCCUGAUGCAGAGACGCCGCGGGGGGGAUGACGGCCUUAGGGUUGUAAAAUCAUUUCGCUAGGGACGAAGCGUUUUGUGACGGUACCUGGAGAAGAAGCACCGGCUAACUACGUG
rnacentral:rRNA from 1 species